GUGCUUUCUUUGGCAGCACAUAUACCAAACCUGGAAUGAUAUAGAGAAGAUUAGCAUGACCCCUGUGCAAAGGUAACACUCAAAUUCAUGAAGCAUUCCAUAUUUCU